rnacentral:rRNA from 1 species
GAUGAACGCUGGCGGCGUGCCUAAUACAUGCAAGUCGAGCGAAGCGGGGAGGGGGGAGGAAAACGUGGAUAACCUCCUAUAAGACUGGGAUAACCUCGGGAAACCGGAGCUAAACCGGAUACUUAGAGAUGGAUGCGUGCUGCAUUAGCUAGUUGGGAAGGUAACGGCUUAACAAGGCAACGACGCAUAGCCGACCUGAGAGGGGGAUCGGCCACACUGGAACUGAGACACGGCCCAGACUCCUACGGGAGGCAGCAGUGGGGAAUCUUCCGCAAUGGGCGAAAGCCUGACGGAGCAACGCCGCGUGAGUGAUGAAGGUCUUCGGAUCGUAAAACUCUGUUGUUAGGGAAGCGGUACCUAAACAGAAAGCCACGGCUAACUACGUGCCAGCAGCCGCGGUAAUAC